UACGGAGGGGGCUAGCGUUGUUCGGAAUUACUGGGCGUAAAGCGCACGUAGGCGGACUGUUAAGUCGGGGGGUGAAAUCCUGGGGCUCAACCUCAGAAUUGCCUCCGAUACUGGCAGUCUCGAGUGCGGGAGAGGUGAGUGGAAUUCCCAGUGAUAGAGGUGAAAUUCGUAGAUAUUGGGAAGAACACCAGUGGCGAAGGCGGCUCACUGGCCCGUAACUGACGCUGAGGUGCGAAAGCGUGGGGGAGCAAACAGG
rnacentral:rRNA from 1 species